rnacentral:lncRNA from 1 species
UUGUCUAUUGCCUCACUUCCCUCUUGUCUCUCCAAGGCACUGUGCUACACUGCGGGAACAUAGCAGUGAAUAAGACAGAGGUGGCUCC